GUAGGGGGCAAGCGUUGUCCGGAUUUACUGGGCGUAAAGCGCGUGUAGGCGGCCAUGCAGGUCCGUUGUGAAAACUAGAGGCUCAACCUCUAGACGUCGACGGAAACCGUGUGGCUAGAGUCCGGAAGAGGAGAGUGGAAUUCCUGGUGUAGCGGUGAAAUGCGCAGAUAUCAGGAAGAACACCAAUGGCGAAGGCAGCUCUCUGGGACGGUACUGACGCUGAGACGCGAAAGCGUGGGGAGCGAACAGGAUUAGAUACCCUGGUAGUCCACGCCGUAAACGAUGGGUGCUAGGUGUGGGAGGUGUCGACUCCUUCCGUGCCGUAGCUAACGCAUUAAGCACCCCGCCUGGGGAGUACGGCCGCAAGGCUAAA
rnacentral:rRNA from 1 species